ensembl:lncRNA
CCCCCCCCCCCCCAGCAGAGGUCUGAACCCUCCCAGACAAACCUGAACCCCAGAAAUGAUCUGAGACCCCCUGACCGACCUGAACCCCCCCAGGAUAUGUCUGAGCCCCCCCAGACCCAUCUGAGCCCCCCAAGAGUGGUCGGAGCCCCCCAGAUCAAACUGAGCCCCCCAGACCAAUCUCCCCCCCCCCCCCCCAGUAGUGGUCUCAGCCCCACAGUCCAACCUGAGCCCCCCAGGAGCGAUCUGAGCCCCCCCCCCACCGCUGUCUAUAGACAUAGAGGGACCUGGAGUGGGGUGCAGGUGCCUAUGGGGCCCUAUUGCUCCUAUAGUGUAUAUGGCCCUGUUGGCGUAGCACAUAUGGGGCACGGAUAGGCCUAUAGGUACGUGUGCAGAGCUGAGCAUAUGGGGUUUUUAUUUACAUACAGCCCUAUAUGUCGUCUUAUUUCCAGUGCUGUGGGCAGAGCUGGGGGUGGGGUUUGCAUAUGGGCCAUAUGUGGUCCCUAUAGGGUCCAUAGGCUUCUCAGUGUGGGUAUAUGGGUGCCUAUAGGAUCCAUAUGUGGUCCCUAUAGGGUCCGUAGGCUUCUCAGUGUGGGUAUAUGGGUGCCUAUGGGGUCCAUAUGUGGUUCCUAUGGGGUCCGUAGGCUUCUCAGUGUGGGUAUAUGGGUGCCUAUAGGAUCCAUAUGUGGUCCCUAUGGGGUCCGUAGGCUUCUCAGUGUGGGUAUAUGGGUGCCUAUAGGGUCCAUAUGUGGUCCCUAUGGGGUCCGUAGGCUUCUCAGUGUGGGUAUAUGGGUGCCUAUAGGGUCCAUAUGUGGUCCCUAUGGGAUCCGUAGGCUUCUCAGUGUGGGUAUAUGGGUGCCUAUAGGGUCCAUUUGUGGCCCCCAUAGGGUGCAUACCCAUACAGUGCUGUAGGUCUAGGGGGGGCUCUGGGGGUCCCAUUCCCCUUUUCCCCCAGGGAAGCACGGGGGGGGACGGGGGGGGAUGGACGGAUGGAUUGGGAAACCCCAUUGAGUGUUAACCCCCCCCCCCAGUAAAAAAACAACCCCAAACCCACCAAUUUCUGCCCCCAAAAUGAGCAUCCCCGGGGGGAUCCCCCCCGGCCGCAGGUCCUGGCAGGUCACAGCAGCGAUCUGAGCCCCCCCAGGAGCGAUCUGAGCCCCCCCAGCAGUGAUCUGAGCCCCCCAGGAGCGAUCUGAGCCCCCCCAGGAGCGGUCUGAGACCAAAACGAGCAUCCCCGGGGGGGUCCCCCCGGCCGCAGCAAUUCCCAUCCGCGGGAGGAAGGAGAGGCCGAGAGGGGGGGAAGAUUGAAUUGAAGCCCCGGGGCCAUUAACCCGCUGCCCUGGCCCAACUCCAGCUGCAGUAAUUACAUUCGCCCUGAUUAAAAAUUUCCCCUUCGUUUUCAAUUAGCUCCGCCGUCCUUCUUCGCUUCCCUCCUCCCCAACCACAGCGCUGUGCGGCUCCGCAGUGCGGCUGCUCUGCAAAGGGGAAACUGAGGCACGGGGGGCUGUGGGGAGGGGGCGUUGUGGCACCUGUGGGGCACAGUGGGGCACUGCAUGGGGGGCGAUCAUAGCGCCUAUGGGGUAUUGCUCUACACUGGGGCUCCUAUGGGGCAUCGCAUGGGGGUGUCCAUGGCAUCUAUGGGGCACUUAUGGGGUAUUGCAUGGGGGUGUUCUAGUGCCUAUGGGGCA